rnacentral:rRNA from 1 species
ACGAACGCUGGCGGCGCGCCUAACACAUGCAAGUCGAACGGUGAAGAGGAGCUUGCUCCUCGGAUCAGUGGCGGACGGGUGAGUAACACGUGAGCAACCUGGCUCUAAGAGGGGGACAACAGUUGGAAACGACUGCUAAUACCGCAUAACGUAUCGGGAUGGCAUCUUCCUGAUACCAAAGAUUUUAUCGCUUAGAGAUGGGCUCGCGUCUGAUUAGAUAGUUGGCGGGGUAACGGCCCACCAAGUCGACGAUCAGUAGCCGGACUGAGAGGUUGAACGGCCACAUUGGGACUGAGACACGGCCCAGACUCCUACGGGAGGCAGCAGUGGGGGAUAUUGGACAAUGGGGGCAACCCUGAUCCAGCGACGCCGCGUGAGGGAAGAAGGUUUUCGGAUUGUAAACCUCUGUUGACGGAGAAAAAAAUGAUGGUAUCCGUUUAGAAAGCCACGGCUAACUACGUG